GAGUGUGUAGCUCAGUUUGGCAGAGCACUCGACUUUUAAUCGAGUUGUCGAUGGGUUCAAAUCCCUCCACACUCA
rnacentral:tRNA from 2 species